rnacentral:misc_RNA from 1 species
GAUGAAGAACGCAGCGAAAUGCGAUAAGUAAUGUGAAUUGCAGAAUUCAGUGAAUCAUCGAAUCUUUGAACGCACAUUGCGCCCGUCAGUAUUCUGGCGGGCAUGCCUGUUCGAGCGUCAUUACGCCCCUCAAGUCCCCUGUGGACUUGGUGUUGGGGAUCGGCGAGGCUGGUUUUCCAGCACAGCCGUCCCUUAAAUUAAUUGGCGGUCUCGCCGUGGCCCUCCUCUGCGCAGUAGUAAAACACUCGCAACAGGAGCCCGGCGCGGUCCACUGCCGUAAAACCCCCCAACUUUUUAUAGUUGACCUCGAAUCAGGUAGGACUACCCGCUGACCUUAAGCAUAUCAAUAAGCGGAGGA